UCCUCUUUACUACCUCCCCAGCAGCGCUCCCACGACUCCAUCUCGUGCCAUCAAAGGGUCCGAGCAUCUGAGGAAAGAAAGGCCCACACAGGACACUCCUCCUUCAUCUUUCUCCUUCCUCACAGCUCUCUGCUGCAUUCGCGAACAUCCAUCGACCCUACGACUACGAGUAGCGAGAGAGGAUUGAUGGCGGCGCAGCUGCGGUACAUGAUAGGCCAUUAUUUCGGUACCCCAUCUGGCAAGGGUUGACGGGGUUCUUUGUUCCUAAUGAGGCAGGGGGUGAUCCAAGAUCUGGACUACGCCUUGAGGACAAAGAAGGGAGGUUUGACCCCCGAGGAGGAGAAGACGCUCCUGGCUUACAAUUUACUUCCUGGUGUUUACUUCAUCGUGGGUUCAGUACUGGCCACUUUCGCGGGGUUGUUGGGUACCCACAAAGGUUGCCCACUCCCUCAGCUCUCGAUUUAAUAUUUGAUAUUGUUAAAGCAUGCCAUUCCUGAGAAAGCGAUAAUAUUGUGUCAACAAUCUGCGAGCACCAAAUUGUGUUAAAAAAACAUGCCAGGAGCAUGACUGCGGCCUUGUAUAUCAAGGUUAAAACCUGAAAUAGUAUUCAAUAGCCAUACUCGUGCAAACCAUCCAGGAUGGGGAUUGGGGAGGACAGUAUCUCUAGAUAAAGUUCAAAGAACCGUGGGUCAUCUGGCAAGCAACAUUAUGUCAUUCUUAUGGCUGUAUUUUGAGAGCUCCUUCCCUAAAUGUUGCACCAUGGAUGCUGUUGUUAUGCUGCUAUCAAGUGGGCACACCAGGGGCAAACGAAUUAUAUUCUGCUUUUGUUAUUGCUCCUACUUUUCAAGGAUAUUUGUAUGCU